rnacentral:rRNA from 1 species
GCACAAGCGGUGGAGCAUGUGGAUUAAUUCGAUGCAACGCGAAGAACCUUACCUGGGUUUGACAUGCACAGGACGCCGGUAGAGAUAUCGGUUCCCUUGUGGCCUGUGUGCAGGUGGUGCAUGGCUGUCGUCAGCUCGUGUCGUGAGAUGUUGGGUUAAGUCCCGCAACGAGCGCAACCCUUGUCUCAUGUUGCCAGCGCGUUAUGGCGGGGACUCGUGAGAGACUGCUGGGGUCAACUCGGAGGAAGGUGGGGAUGACGUCAAGUCAUCAUGCCCCUUAUGUCCAGGGCUUCACACAUGCUACAAUGGCCGGUACAAAGGGCUGCGAUGCCGUGAGGCUUAGCGAAUCCUUGAAAGCCGGUCUCAGUUCGGAUCGGGGUCUGCAACUCGACCCCGUGAAGUCGGAGUCGCUAGUAAUCGCAGAUCAGCAACGCUGCGGUGAAUACGUUCCCGGGC